UGGGGAAUUGUUCGCAAUGGGCGCAAGCCUGACGACGCAACGCCGCGUGGAGGAUGAAGAUCUUCGGGUCGUAAACUCCUGUCGAAUGGGACGAAUGGAUCGCGUGUGAACAACACGUGGUCGUGACGGUACCGUUAAAGGAAACCCCGGCUAACUCCGUGCCAGCAGCCGCGGUAAUACGGGGGGGGUAAGCGUUGUUCGGAAUUACUGGGCGUAAAGGGCUCGUAGGCGGCCAACUAAGUCAGACGUGAAAUCCCUCAGCUUAACUGGGGAACUGCGUCUGAUACUGGAUGGCUUGGAUCCGGGAGAGGGAUGCGGAAUUCCAGGUGUAGCGGUGAAAUGCGUAGAUAUCUGGAGGAACACCGGUGGCGAAGGCGGCAUCCUGGACCGGUAUUGACGCUGAGGAGCGAAAGCCAGGGGAGCAAACGG
rnacentral:rRNA from 1 species